AUGGAAUUAAGCCCCAAACAUAAAGAUUAAACUUUCUUUAGAA
rnacentral:tRNA from 1 species